GGUGGGAACAUGCAUGCAGCAGAAUGAGUUGGGAGAGUGGACUGCAUUGUAUCACUUAAGACUCCAGUUGUAAAGAACACCUAACACUUCAGGAUGAAAUUAUACACCAUGUGUUAUAGAGGACUGCUCUGUAACAUGGAAGAGCAAUUUGCGGCAGAAGAGUGGGCAGAGGAAUGCUCAGAUUUUUCUUCUCUGACUUCGCGCACUCUGCAACUGUGGCCCCAGCUAAAUUUUCACACUCCAGGUUACUGGCUGAAGGCAGAACAAAAUAGAUCUGCACCCCAAAGAAGCAAGGGAACUCAUCUCCUGGAAAGAUACAUGUCCUAAGAGACUCCUGAGAUGGCAGGCAGCCAAAGACUGACCUCAUGAGAUCAACCUGACCCAGAUGAAACCCCAGGGGAUUUUCCAACAUGCUAAGCAGGUCAUUUUACCCCAACGUCCAGAAGAGGGGUGAUCAAGAGAAGAUUAUGCCAGGAAGAUGCCUCCUUUGAAGUUUGACUAUAAAGGAGACCCUUUAGGAUAGCUGAAGCGGAGAAGCCCCCAUCUGGAACCAGGAUAUUUUUGUCUAUGUUCUUGCUACUAUGGUUUUUGCCAUUAUUAUUAUUUGCUGAAUAUAUUUACCUUUUUGUAACCCUUGCCUUAAUAAAAGUAAUAUACAACAAUGUCAACAUUA